GCACAAGCAGGAGAGAGAGCUGGAGAGGUGGGUCAGGGUGCCUGGCACAGCCGGGAUAGGGGACCUGCCGGGCUCCUCCUCUUGCAUAAUCGAGGAAGUUGGCUUUCUCAUCGCUCAGGAGCUCCAGGCCAGCCCGGGGAAGCCCCAGCAGCCCCAGCGGGAAGGGCUGGCGCUGUCCCGUGCCUGCAGCACCUCUGUACUUGCAGAGCUCCCUGGAGUGGCCACCGCCGCGCGGCUCCCACCCCGGAAGGCCCCCAGCAGACUGGCGAGUACCGUGCCCUGGGGAGGGAGCCACCUACAAGCAGACCCGGCGGGGGCGGCUGCCGUAGCCGGGCCUGGGACAGGCGUUCUGGUUCCUUCCAGAACCUAUUGCCCCUGUGGGCACACACACAACGCACCCCUUGAACGAUCUCCCGCCUUUGGACAUGACAGGGCGCUUGGCUCACCUCCGUGGCUACUCUCUUUGAAAAAGGCAAGGCAGUGCAGGGGGGUGGGGGGGAGUGGGAGGGGAGAGCGGAGGUGGGGUUGCACCCUGGGUGGGUGGGGGAGCAUUCCACUCCUGCCUCUCUGCUAGCUGGAAGCUGGGCCCUGCUGGAGAGAGUGGGGACGCACGUGUGCUGAGCUAAGCAGCUUGUGGAACCAGCAGUCGCCCUCUGUUCCUGCCCAGGCCUGGCUCAGAGUCCACCUCCCGUCAGGUCUUUCAGGGACCCUGUCUCCAGCAAUCUCGAGGUGCAGAGCUCCAGAGAAGGCGAGGCCUGGAGCUGGCCCUGCACACAGUAGGAGCCCUCUGAGUGAGCGCUCUCCGAGGGAGGAGAGAAGGCGUGAAUUCAUGUCUGGCUUUGACCUGUGGAAAUUACGUCCCUAGGAACCCAGGCUGCUCAGUUUUUAGUUUCCUGCGGUCAGCAGCGAUCUUGUCAUCAGACAUUUAUGAAGGGGGAAACAGAUGACCACGGAGAGACAGGCAAGCCUGCUUCUUCCCAGGGCGUGACUAGAGCGUGCAUGUGGGUAGGGCUGUGUGCGUGCCAUCCCGGUACCGAGGGCCAGAGCUCGUGGACAGAGAUAACCAGCGGCGUGGUCUUCCUUCCCCCAGGCUGCCUCGGGUUGCAGUGGAAGCAGGAACAAACCUUUCUGAGCACCUACUGUGCGCUCAGAGCAUUUUCAGCUCCUCUCCCUCGUGGCCCCGGGAGGCAGCUGUCAGGAGCUGGAGAGCAGCUCUCCUACUGCCCGGGAGACUCAGAGACGAGCCUGGCUGGGCCGAGGUCACACAGCUGGUGGAUGCGGGGCUGGCCCUGGGACUUGGACAUUGGUCCCUCCAGCAAAAACCAGAGACUCCCCUCUCAGUUCUCACUGCCCUCCCGCCAAGAUGCCUCUCUAAGAAUUUAGAAGAGUAUUUCUGGAAUGAGGACAGCCGUGAAGCUGCCAGGGGUCCACGUGGAGCCCCUGGGUCUGUAUGGGAAGGGCCACCAGGAAGGACCCGCCGGCAGGAAGGCCAGGGCACUGCGACAGGGUUGGCCCUCUUCCCCUGCACCCCCAAAGCUCCCUCUCUGCCCUCUGCACUAAGAGUAAAUAUCUUAGCCUGUCCAGCAGCUGAAGCCACUGCGUGGGACCGAGGGUGCUCAGGAGUGACGAUGAAACGUCUGGCUAUGGGGCUGGAGCAGGUGCCUGGCGUGGUUGCAGGACUACCAAGCUUUGUCCCAGCUCUGCUAUGCACACUGUGUGGCCUUGGACAAGUCCUUCCCCUUCCUUGGCUUCCCUGAAAAGCUUUUCCGCGUUCCCAUUGACCGAGAAGGGUGCUCUCAGCUCUGAAAGCCUCAGGCACUCAGAACCAACCGGACCCAAGUUUAGAGCUCCCCAAGACAGGCCUGCAACCUCUUGCUCCCUGCUUGGGACCCUCUGCUCUCUCCCUUCUGGGAAACCAGUUGCCUCCCUGUUGCCACCAGCCUGGGCCCACCAGGUUUCAGGAAGUUCUGCUUGCAGCCCCAGUGGAAGGGACACAGUGUCUUGGUUGAAGCACAUACCAUGUGGGCGGCUUAGCAGAGCGAGUAGCUGGCAAGAUGGGGCUGGCCGGGCCGGGGGGUGUUGAUGUCCGGAGUUGGCAGGGCGUGAGGGGCUGGGGAGGGUUUGGCCCCAAAGCCAGCCUGGGUUGGGGAUUUAGGGACUGAAGAGAUUCGGACAUUCCCAUCAUCAUUUGUCCCCAGAGCUGCAGGUCUGGGCUGCCCCCAUUCAGGCCUGGGGCCACUCAGCCUCAGGGCCUCUUUCUGGUGGGUGGUCUGGGCCUCCUGCCAUCAGCCAGAGCUCACCCUGAGCCAGCAGGGCCUGCCACCACCCACACCUCCAACCCCACGCUGGGUCUCCGCAACGGCAGCCUCGGCCCUGCAGGACCAGCUGCCCUGGUGUCCACGGCUUCCCUGGGAGGACAACCCUUGCCGGUUCUCCCCCUCCCUCUGCCUCAGCCCAUUCCGAGAGAUUUAUAUCUCCCAUAUAAACCGUACUUGUAAAAGAAUAAUUCAUGGGCCCUCUUUGUUAUUAAUCUGGGGGUAAUCCGGCCAGGGUCAGCGAGGCCCACGGAACUGCUGGAAUUCCAGCUGAAAGUAGACAUCGUUCUGUCAAGGCACCCUCGUCAAGAGGCCAUGGGAGUCCUGCUGGACUUUCCGAAAGAAGGAAGCCAACUCAGGGACUCAGCAUCCAGGAUGAAAAUCUCUGCACUCCCAGUUUUUGAGUUCCCUCCAAAGUGCUAAGGGCCCAAUUCCCCAAAUGGCCUUUCAGGGGUGUGGGGUAAACACACACUCACUGAGUAUUUAAUAUAUUGUGCUAACUAAUUCACAUGCCUUAUCUCCAUCGAUGGACACAAUACAACUAAGAGGUGGGUACUGGAAUUAGUCCCCACUUUAUAAAUGAGGAAACGGAGGCUCACGACUUGCCCAAUGCAGACAGCUAGCAAGUGGCCGAGCCAAGGUUAUGAAGCGGAUCUGCUGAAUGUCAAAGCC